rnacentral:rRNA from 1 species
CCCGCACAAGCAGCGGAGCGUGUGGUUAAUUCGAUGCAACGCGAAGAACCUUACCAAGGCUUGACAUGCCAGAAGUAGGAACUCGAAAGAGAGACCACCUGUAUCCAGUCAGGAACUGGCACAGGUGCUGCAUGGCUGUCGUCAGCUCGUGCCGUGAGGUGUUAGGUUAAGUCCUGCAACGAGCGCAACCCUCGUCGCUAGUUAAAUUUUCUAGCGAUACUGCCCGUAAAACGAGGAGGAAGGUGGGAUGACGUCAAGUCAGCAUGGCCCUUACGCCUUGGGCCACACACACGCUACAAUGGGUGAUACAACGGGUUGCGAAAGAGCGAUCUGGAGCUAAUCCCUAAAAUCAUCCUCAGUUCGGAUUGCAGGCUGAAACUGCCUGCAUGAAGUUGGAGUUGCUAGUAACCGCAGGUCAGCACACUGCGGUGAAUACGUUCUCGGGCCUU